CACCCCAGAUGACAACAUGGAAAUUCGUUUAAUGUCGUGUUGACACGUGUCCCGUACGGACGAAACUCAGUGUUUCAUUUAAAUGUGUAUCAUCGUGGGCUUUCUUUGUUUGGUGCAUGUUGGGCUCUGGUUUUGCCAUCCGGCCCGAGAAGAUUGGAAUCGCAUUCUAACGAGACUUCUCUUUGGCGGAACUUGGCGGAGUUUAGGGUUCGGAUCUCUUCGCUUUGUUCUGCAGCGACUUCUGAUCUUCCUCUGUAUAACUGAAACGCUUUCAGUUAUGUCUCUUCGUGUUUAAUCCCUUCUUAAUUCGAAGCCUUGAAUGUGAUCUUUUUCUUCGGCGAGUCAGUAUAUCGAAGAGUAUAAAGGGGUCAGCAUUCCCCCUCUCGAAACCAUCUUCUAAUUCUUUCUUACUACGUUUACUGAGCUUUCUGUUUAACUCAAUCACGAGAGACACUUAUCGUCGUCUUCCCACCGAUUUUAGGGUUUUCCAUCUUCUUCCAUUUCAGACAACAACAAUGGAGUUUCAACGAUUGACUCAAAUUGUUGUGGAGAAUCUUUGUGUGGGUCUUCAAUUGUGUCUUCCUCUAAUCAAAACAUAAGGCUUAUUCUCCCCUAAUCCUUAAAUUAAGUUUACUCUGACCUUAUGCUUAUCAUUGGCUUUGUGGCUUUGCGGCUGCGCCUACACACAAGGCGUGAUCGACAUCAAAUUUCACGAGUUUGACGUUGCAAAAGGUGAGUCUUUCCAUCCGAACGGUAUCUCCAUGAACGCAUCAUACUCUUCAGAGGCGGCAUCUUCGUGCGAUUCGUCUCCGUUUAGUAUGGUGUUUACUUCUAGCGGUAAGAGGGCUUUGCGGCGUACCGGGUCGAACUUUUAAAUUUCACUGAGAAGGGAUAUGACAGAGGAGAGAGAUGAAAGUGAUUGAAGUAGCAGUUGAUGACGAUUGGUUGUCUCCAUCGCCGAAGAUUGUCUUCGAUAAAAGAAAAAAAUCCAUGGAAGAUUCUACUAUUAAAGCUUUGAGGUAGUUUUCUAUAUCCUGAGUAUUUGUCAUAUAUGUGCUUCCCAUGUUGCUAUUAGAAGCUACGGUGUGAACACUGAUAGUUUUAAUUUUAUAAUGCGCUUUGAUAAUAUCAUCUAGAAAGUUUCUUUGUUAACUUUGAUUCUUAGGUUUUGAAUUUAAAUAUGCAAUAUAUUAGAAGCUAUGGUUUUGUAUGUCUAUACUUUCUAUGUUACUAUUAAAAUCUACUAUUUUUUCCAACGUUAUAUAUCCCAUGGUCAAUUUCACUUUCACAUGAAUCUAUAAGUUUGGAUGCUGCUAACUGUCAUUUGUUAAUUCGCUGUGUGUUAAUCUCUAGAAGAAUCUGGAAUUUCUCUUCUAAGUGUGUUGGACAUGUUUCGUUUCCAUUCAUUUAAAGAAUUUAAAGAAUUUGAAACUAAUUGUCGUCUAAGAGGUGAGCUUAACUCUGGUAAGUUCUGACGUUCUUAUAAUAUGAUGGUUUUAUCUGUAUUGAGGCUGGAAGCUUAUCUUUUGUUUAUGUUCAAUUUUUUUCUGAAUUUCAUUCAGAGGAAGAGGAAAUAACCAUGGAUGGGUCUUAAAAUGGUAGGUUUACUUUACUGUGUUAAAGUUUGUUUUGUGGCAUUGUUACGCUAUUAUAUUGACACUAUUAUUUAGAAUUGGAAAAAUCCAACGCCACUGGGCUGAAUGAUCAAAAGCCCAACCUUGAAGCUGAUGAAUCUGAGUUAGAUUACGAAGAUAAAUCUGACUCUUGACUCUGAUGAGGUAGAUUUUAACUACGUUUAAGUAGUGCAACGUUUAUUUAUUUUUAUUUUUUUGAUGAGUUGUGAGUAGCAUAGACUCACUUAAUUUGUUGAGAGCCAUGAUCUUGAUACUGAUUUCGGAAAUGUGAGGCAUGUUUUCUUUAUUUAGUUUUAGAUGGGUUCAAAUGAUGAUAAGUCAGAAGAAGAGGAGGAGGAAACAACAGUAAAGGUAUUUUUCUAAAAAAAUGGCCUUUUGCACUGAGAGCUUACACACUUUUUUGCUUUGGAUCAAUAAUGUAAGGAAUAAAGAAAAGGUGGAACCACGAAGCAAGAGACCAAAUGGUGGAGCAAUGGACAACAACAACAUAGUUGUGUCAAAGAAUCAGAAGUUGCAAGUCAGCAGAAGCCGUCAGGAGAGCAUAAGUGGCACAAGUGGGGCGGUAUUUAUCCUCCAAAAAGAGACUAGAGAACGACCAAGUCACAUUUUUCAUAUAAAGUUUUGAUAGUUUUUCCUUAUGGUGAAUGGUUGAAUGGAUGAAGAUGUUGUCGUUUGAGAUAUACAAUGUUUUUUAAUGAAUUUGUUUGUUUUCAAAUGAGUAGUAAUAAUAAACAUUCUGCCUUUUGUUUAA